UUUAUUUUUGUUGCUUUGUCACUUCGUUUUCUCAUUUUAAUUCCUUUUCUUUUUGGAUUUUUAAUUUCUUCGUCAUUUCCUUUUUUUCUUUGUUUGUCUUUUUUCUCGUUUUUGUGGACAUUUUUUUAAAAUCUUGAACAUUUUUCUGUUCACUGUAUUCAGAAAAUGUUCAUGAUAUUCAAGAAAAUUUCAUAGUAUUCUAAAUUUGUUCACCAUAAUUUGACAAAAUUUUCAUCAAAUUUAAAAAAUGUUCAUCUAGUUUUCACAAAGUUUAUCUGAUUUUCAAAAAGGUUUUCUUAAAUUGAGAAUUUGUUCACCAAGUUUUAAAAAAUAAAAAAUGUUCAACUAAUUCAAAAAAUAUUCUUUUUGUUCAAAAUUUGUUCAGCGUAAUUUUUAAAAAUGUUCAUCAAAUUCAAAAAAUGUUCUUCCAAUUUUUUUAGAAAAUGUUCUUGAAUUGAGAAUUUGUUCAUCAAGUUCAAAAAAUGCUUUUCAAACUGAAAAUUUGUUCAUCUGAUAAAAGAAGUGUUCAUCAAUAUCUAAAUUCACAAAAAAAUUUAAAAAUCAUGAACAUUUUUCAAAUUCGCAUUUUUUUUAAAUUGGACAUUUUGAAAUCCCGAAUUAUUAUAAAAACAAAAAAGAAAAUGAAAAAAAUGAAACAAGAAAAUAAGGGGCUCCCCACUACCUCUCAUGGGCUGGCCCAAAGCAGGCGCACAGGGGCAGUGUGGGAUGCGCGUGUGUCCGCUCUCUGGUUCGUGCUGCGCCAUAUAGGAGCUCCCAUAAAAACUGACCCACCCGUGAACAAAAUAAUUUUCUACACCGAGAGAAGAGGGACGAGGAUCCCCUGACGUGGGCUACCCUGCCAUUGAGACACCGACACAUGGGUCCCAUCAAGCACGGGGCCUACAUGUCAGCGACCGAAAGGCAGCGAAAGGUAGGGUUAGCUACGUCAGAGGAUCUGUAUGCAAAGUGGGAAAAAAAGAGUCGAAGCAAAGAGGACAUAGCCAUGUCAAAAAACACCCAGAAAAAUUAAAAGGUUAAAAAAACACCCACAAAAAAUUAAAAGGUUACAUCGAAGUCCAUGGGAUUCGUCUUCAUUCUCCCGAAUGGCCAUUAUGUCAUGAUGGUAUUCCACCACAUGCCGCUCCAUCAUCGGAGCCUACGUGUUGACGGUCCUACUGGACGAGCGCCCCGCAGAAGAGACCUUCGCCGUUGGAAGAGCUGCAGAUCCAAGAACGAAACAUCCAUCAUUUCCCACUUGUCUGACGCCGGCACUAGAGGUUGCAUUUGCACCGACAUGAUGGAAACAUGGCGGAGGGCCAAACCGCAAAAAAGACCUAGCGGUUGGUUAGCGUUUUUGUCAACCCAUCUAAUCUUUGUGACCUACUAUGCGCCAACAGGUGGGAAUAGCCACAAAUGAAAUGGUGACACUUUGGCGGCAAAGUAUCAUCGGUGGCACGCAACACAAGAAAUAGAUGUCUCACCGCUAUGUGUCCGUCCUGGUUCGACUGUUGUGGUCUACUCCAUGCAUCACCAAGAGAUCAUGUGGUCAUCAUUCGGGAUUCACGAGGUCAAGCGAUUGCUGCUGGAUCAGGUAAUAUACCUUAUAUUAUCAGCCCACUGCACACUGAAACGAUUGCCUGUUUAAAGAGCCUACAAGCGGCUCAACAGCUGGGUAUGACUUCUGUGAUUGUGGAGACGGACUCCACCAAUCUCAUGCAUGCAAUAAAAGGAAGGGACCAAGACCGGUCUGUACUUGGUGUCAUUUUCAAGGAGAUUAAAAUCUUUGCUAGGUUAAAAUUUUCUCGUUUUGAGAUUGUUUUUUGCCCAAGGGGUUGUAAUAAAGUAGCUGACACUUUAGCUGCUCAUGGUGUGCGUGUGACCCAUGCAUCCUUGGCCUUGUGGCCUGAUGGGGCGCCAGACUUUGUUCAUGCGAUGAUUGCCAGCGAUUUGCCUGGUUGUUUUGGUUAAUGGAAGAGAGUAUUCCGGCUAAAAAAAAGAGAUCAUGUGGUCUUUUGUUGGUCUCAUGAAUCCAGCGGAUUCUCGUCUGAUGCUUCAGCCUGACUUGGCGAUUGGUGGUAUUGACGUUGAUGCCAUGAUUGCUUAGGUUUGCGGUUCCACGUUCCAUUAUUUUGUGCUUCUUAUGGUGCGGUGACGAAAUAGUAAUUCAACAACCUUGCCUUGUAAAGGGUGUGUCAUUGGUCAGGCUGCAUCCAGUGAUGUUAAAUUCUCGUAUGUUGAGGUUGGCGUCUAUCACUUGUUGAGGCGGGCAACUCAUGUGUCUAUUCAAGGCCUUUGAUGUUAGUCGAUCUAGUUCAACUUUGGUCGUCUUCUCCAAAAGUAUGGAGGAAGAGUUCAAUAUGUUGUGAAACUUAAAUUCCCUCGCAAAAAAAGUGAAACUUAUUUUUUUAUCAGGCUUUUUGUUGUUCGUGUUUGUUUCACCUUUUAUUUGACCCAACAUGAUUUUUCUAGUUAAUCAAUAAAAUCAUCUUAUUUACUAUUUCUUUUCACUAUUUCCUUGGACAGCAAUUUUGAAUUCAACACAUGCAUCACUUAUAUAUGCACCCACUUGAGUGCGCUUCAAUCUCAUGCUAAAAUAUAUAAAUCAUAUAUACCUAAAUAGUUGAUCUUUGAUAUAUAUAUAUAUUUCUCUCAACACACAUGCUAACUCACCAUACAUGCCACGUCAAUAAUUAUUGAAUGUUUCCUAUUUUUUAGUUGCAUGCUCCAUCCCACUAUCUACCUAUUUUUUCAUAUCCAUGCAACUCAUCCACACCAAUAAGUCAUGCAUGUUUACCAGGACAUCGAUAUGUCAUAUCAUCAUAGUUAAUCAUCAUUAUAUAACAUCACAGAAGAUGUGAAAAUGGUGAAAAUGUGAGAUUUUGGGAAGACUGGUGGAUAAAAGAUAAACCUCUUAUAAAAUAUAUUUUGAUAAGAACAUAUCUUCAUUUGAUUUUUUUCUAAAGGACUUGGCCAAGUAUAAUUUAGAAGGACUCUGUUUGGACACAUCAAAGAAGUUUGUGAUGGUUGGAUCUUGAUUGAUAGAAAGAUUCUAUUAGAUGGACAGUAAACAAAAAAGGGUUGUACUCUGUAAUAUAUUAUUAUAGUUUAUUGAUAGAAAAUGGGAUGAAAUACCCACACACUUUUUUUGGAAAGCUAAAGUGACACCCAGAGUUAAGGUCUUUAUGUGGUUAGUUCUUAGGAAUAAAUUUUUUACCAAGGAUAACAUGAUUAGAGGGAGGAUAGAUUGGGGAUAAGAAAUGUCCCUACUGUGGAAAAGAUGAAUCCAUUAACCACCUGCGCCGCGGCCAGCACCUGCCCCGCCACCAGCUGCACGGCCUGCUCCGCCGCUACCGUCCUGCGCCUACGCUCCACGGCUACCUACGACGCCCGCCACCUUCCUGCGACGCCACGGGUGGGGCGCCUGCCACCUGCUCAACCCGCGGCACGGCCUCCUUCCGUGUGCCCGGCCGGAGUGCUCAAAGGUGGGGGGCUGCUGGAGCUAUUUGAACUAGGAGGAAGAACCCUAGGGUGAAAUGGCGAGCAGCGGCGACCCCAGAGUAUUUGGUGAGGCAGGCAUCGGGCCGGAGAUCCGCCGCGUCCACGACUGGGUUCCCGAGGGGUAAGUCUCGCCUCCUGUUUAGAUUGAGCUUAGUUGUGCAUCUGAACACUCGAUUCGAGUAGGUUUGCCCAAUUAGUGUGCUGAUUGCGUGUCUGUUUUUCGCCGGUUAAGAUGGAGUUACGGUUUGCUUUCUUGGUGCACAUUAGAAGGGACCCGUACAUGUUCGAUGCAAAGGAUAAGAAGAAAUACCAAGGAGGUUUUGGUUAUCGGUUGCCAAUGGCUAGUAAUUGAAGUUUCAGACGAUUUGGGAAGGUAAUUUGUAGCCAAUAUCCUUGGGGUUUGCUUGAUGAAGUGGUAUACAAAUACUAUGAUGGGGAAACGAAAUGGGUGACAGUUAGUAAUCAUGAAGAGCUAGCUACCAUGUUUGUUAGGCAUAAAGAGAAAGAUAAUUUUCAUGUGAGGCUGCAAGUUGAUGUGCUUGAGCAGGCAUUUGGACCUAGGAUGACGGGUGCAACAUCUCGGGGAGAACCAAGUCGUCGUAAUGGCAUCUCUAGCCAGAACAGUUCAGUUGGUGCACGACGACGUGGUGGCUCGACAAGUGUGGGCAACAGCAGUAGGGUCCCCCUUGAAGUGGAGCUUGAUGACUACAAUUCUGGGGUUGAUGAAGAGAAGCUAUAUUCUGAUGUUAUUCGGAAUUUACGACGGGCACCUCGGGCAGAAAACCAAGAUGAGGAUCACAAUGCAGUCCGUGUGGAUGAUGACGCAGUGGGUGAGGACGAAGACCUUGCAGCUGUUGAAUGGGACCCUUUGAACCCUCAUAUGGAAGAAGGUACAGUUUUUGCAUCCAUGAAUGAGUGUAGAAAUGCACUUGUGACAUACUGCAUCAAGGUAGAACGUACUUUCAAAAUUGACAAGAGUGAUCAAGUACGUUACAGAGUGCACUGUCCGACUGAGGGUUGUCCAUGGAGGCUGCUCGCAUCUAAAAUGCGAAAUAGCACUAAUGUUCAGGUCAAAGUGAACCCUUUUAAGCACACAUGCCAGGAAUCAACCCUUAGGAAGGAUACAAUCAGUAGAGCCAAGUCAAGAUGGAUGGCAGAAGAAGUAAAGAAGUGGGUGAAAGAAAACCAGCAAGUGGGUCCAAAGGAAUUGCAGAAGAACAUCAAAGAUAAGUUCAAGAUAGAUUUACCAUACAUGAGGUUUUUCAAUGGUAAACAACAUGUUAUGGAUUCUAUUUAUGGUAACUGGCAGGAAAGUUUUCGAUUGUUGUAUUCAUUCAAAGGUGAUGUGGAGAGGACAAGCCCAGGUAGUAUUGUAGAUAUUGAUCACCACACCAUGGAGUACACAUUCAGGGGAGUGACAAAGACCAAGGAAUGCUUUAGGAGGGUUUCUGUCUGCUUUGAGGCUUGUCGCCGGGGUUUUUUGGUAGGCCGCAGGCCUUAUUUGGCUAUUGAUGCCACUUUUCUCACAGGGAGGUUUAAAGGACAGUUAGUAGCAGCUUGUGCAGUUGAUGCACACAGUUUUGUAUUUCCAGUUGCCUACGGUGUGCUGGAGACAGAGUCUGAGGAGAGCUGGACUUGGUUUUUGCAUAAUCUGCACCGGUCUAUUGCACAUCCCAAUGGGUUGGUCAUUCAUACAGAUGCCUGCAAAGGUUUAGAAGUGGCCGUGGACAAUGUGCUCCUUGGAGUAGAGUAUAGGGAAUGCAUGCGUCACCUUGCUGCAAAUUUCAUGAAGAAAUUCAAAGGAAAGGUGUAUACCGACAAUUUAUGGCCAGCAUCUUUGACUUGCAGUGUGAAGAAGCACAACUACCACUUGAGGCAGUUAUACAUGAAUCCCAAAAUGAAAGAAUACUUGGAAACACACCACUCCAAGUUAUGGGCCAGAAGCCAAUUCAGUGAACUGAGCAAAGUUGACUAUGUGCACAAUAAUCUAGCAGAGUCUUUCAACUCAAUGAUCCGGAAACUAAAGGGUCAUUAUGUGGUGGAUUUGCUUGACAGGAUAAGGAUAGAAUACAUGCAGAAAUUUCAUUAUCGUGCAGGAAUAUCCGAGGCAAAAUUCAUGGGCCACAUUAUCAUCCCUGCCGUGAUGAAUGAACUGAAGCAGAAAACAACAGGCUUGGAAAUGAACAUGACUCUUUGCUCAGGUACCACAACAGAGAUAUCAUAUUUGGAUAAAGAGAAGAGGGAAUGGAGAUAUCCAGUGGAUUUAGAAGCUAGAACUUGCAGUUGUAGGCAAUGGCAGAUUACUGGGUUGCCAUGCAUUCAUGCCUUGUUUUUCAUCACUUCUCUCCCAGGUCCAACAGGGAACAUACAUCAGUAUGUGCAUGAUUACUACUCUGUUGCAAGGUUCAAAGCCACAUAUUCUUAUGCCUUGCCUGCUAUGGAGGGAAAACAACAAUGGGACAUGGUGGACCCUGGAUUCAAGCUUUGCGCUCCAGUUCUCAAGAGAGCAGUAGGUAGACCAAGGAAGAGUCGAAUCAGACCUCGCAGCGAAGGAGCUGGACUUGGAGCGAGGAAGCGUAAGUGCACAAGGUGUGGUGGGUCUGGUCAUUUUGGUAAGUAUUGUGAUAACACAGUAGAUCCAGCGUUCAGAGAGAGUUUCGAUGAAGGCUUCGAUGAAAAUGUUGGUCAGCAGCCGGUUGCCUCAAUAGAUGAUGACAAUGAUGGUCAAUAGCCGGUUGCAUCAGAUGAGGAUUUUGACGAGGUUCCAAAUGAUGAUGGUCAACAGCCGCAUGAUUUUGACGAUGAUCCAAAAUAUCCUCCAAAUAAUGAUUCAAGUGAGGCUCCAAAUGGUGAUCCAAGUGAGGCUCCAAAUAGUGAUCAUGGUGAUCCAAGUGAGGCUCCAAAUGGUGAUCAUGGUGAUCCAAGUGAGGCUCCAAAUGGUGAUCAUGGUGAUCCAAGUGAGGCUCCAAAUGGUGAUCAUGGUGAUCCAAGUGAGGCUCCAAAUGGUGAUCAUGGUGAUCCAAGUGAGGCUCCAAAUGAUGAUCCAAGUGAGGCUCCAAAUGGUGACCAACCUUCUGUUGUUGUGAGUUCUGCUAGGUAUGUAAAUCUUGCAAGGGUUAAAUACUACUGUACAUUUAUCACUUGACAUGAUCUCAUUACCCUUUAUGUUUUGCACAGCUCUAUGAUAGGUUUGAAGAAGACGCGCAAGGUACCGACAACCAAGAGGAGAAGAGAAGAAGCAAUGAGCACAAGGUGCACGAGGAGCAAAGUGAUGGCAAGAAGCUCAAGGAACAGACAGAAGCCCAACGCUAUAUAUGAAUAAUUAUGAAACAUUAUGAAUAAUGUUGUAUUUCUGUUGGAUGAUGUUGGACCUAUGUUAGAACUAUGUUUGACAUGAUGUUUAAAUCUGUUGGAUGAUGUUUGAAUGAGCACAUGGUUUUUCCUUUUUUUGAUUUUUUUGACUUUUUUGAUUUUUUUUUGCUCAUUUGAAUUCUGGACAAACCUAACUUUGACCAAGAUUUAAACAAGUCUAAAACAUCAAAAUGAAAAACUAAGCCUGGAUUCUUCUUAGUCAAUCCAAAAUGAAGCUGUGGUGAGGUUUUUGAAAUUUUCAUGAAAAAUGUGCUAAAAAGAGGGGUCCAAAGGUAGGGUAAACGACCUCAUUUCUAAGCAAGGUUUUUUUCGACCUUGUCUAAAUCAGCCAAAUAACUUUCCUACACAUAUAUUCUAUAUAUACAGACUAUGUGCACUGGUUUUUCCAUCUUUUGAUUUUUUUAAUUUGUUUUGCUCCUUUGAAUUUCGCCAAACUUAACUUUGACCAAGAUUUAAACAAGUGUAAAACAUCAAAAUGAAAAACUAAGCUUGGAUCCUUCUUAGUCACUCCAAGAUGAAGCUGUGGUGAGUUUUUUGAAAUUUUCAUGUUCAUUUCCCCAAAACACUUCUCUUCACUUCAUACAAGAGAGUUUGAGAUACUCGAGAUAUCACACAAUACACAUGAACUUAUCGUUUAAAUGUAUGUAAACCUUGUUUAUCAACUUAAAUCGUUAGUAUAUGACAUAAGAAGACUAUGUGCGCAGGUUUUUUAUUUUUCUAUUUUUAUUUAAUUUAUUAUGCUCAUUUGAAAUCUGGUCAAACAUAGCUUUGACUGCUCCAAACCCCUCCCAAACCCCGCUAACCCUAGCGCUGAACAAGGACCGUUCAUCUAACCCUAGCGGCGAUCAUGGGCCGUCGAUCUAACCCUUCUAGAAGGAAUCUGCGGGGAGGUGGGGGGGCGAUCCGCGAGGUGCAAUCUGAUUGGUUGGGAGAUUGUUUUUUUAAACAAAUACCGGGCGCGCUGGAUGGACCGUUGGGCCGUCUCGUUGUCUGGGCCUGAGACCAUAGUAAAUAGCCCGUCUCAGCCUUUCCAGGCCUUGCAUGCAUGGGAGGCGGCGACGUGGGUUUGCAUGUGCGGGAGGCGGCGACGUGCAUGCAUGCUAGCGAGGCGAGCGAGGCGCGCUAGGCGAGCUAGGCUAGCGAGGCGAGUUAGGUGGUUCAGGGCAGCGAGUCAGAUGCACCGCCCGGUCAAAGAGCUAUGCAGUGAUUCAGAUGCACGCACGCGCCCCAUGCAUCGUUUUCGUGCAAAAAUUUAAGAGUGCAAAACGUAACGGAUACACACACGCGUCCGGAUUCACACACGCACCGUUCUCAUCCGCUCUCUCUUCCUCUCCCACCCACAGGCCUAUAAAUGGGGUGCCUCUCUUCCUCUCCCACCCACAAGCCAGAUCCGAUCCAUUCUCUCCAACUUCAAACACCCAAGCAACCGAGCCCUCCCCAAGCGAGACCAAGUGAAGAUGCAGUUCAACAGGCCGACCUUCAACCGUCCGCCUGUCAUGCCGGAGCCGCGCUACCCACCGGGCGUGCUUGUGGAGAGGGAGCUCCGUGUGUGGGCUAUUGCUACCUCUUGGGCACUGCGUUGGUUUUCCCUUGAAGAGGAAAGGGUGAUGCAGUAAAGUAGCGUAAGUAUUUCCCUCAGUUUUUGAGAACCAAGGUAUCAAUCCAGUAGGAGGCCACGCCCAAGUCCGUCGCACCUACACAAACAAAUAAAAACCUCGCAACCAACGCAAUAAAGGGGUUGUCAAUCCCUUCACGGUCACUUACGAAAGUGAGAUCUGAUAGAUAUGAUAAGAUAAUAUUUUUGGUAUUUUCAUAAUAAAGAUGCAAAGUAAAAUAAAAGGCAAUAAAAAUAACUAAGUGUUGGAAGAUUAAUAUGAUGGAGAAUAGACCCGGGGGCCAUAGAUUUCACUAGUGGCUUCUCUCGAGAGCAUAAGUAUUACGGUGGGUGAACAAAUUACUGUUGAGCAAUUGAUAGAAUUGAGCAUAGUUAUGAGAAUAUCUAGGUAUGAUCAUGUAUAUAGGCAUCACGUCCGCGACAAGUAGACCGACUCCUGCCUGCAUCUACUACUAUUACUCCACACAUCGACCGCUAUCCAGCAUGCAUCUAGAGUAUUAAGUUCAAAAGAACAGAGUAACACUUUAAGUAAGAUGACAUGAUGUAGAGGGAUAAACUCAUGCAAUAUGAUAUAAACCCCAUCUUGUUAUCCUCGAUGGGAACAAUACAAUACGUGCCUUGCUUCCCCUGCUGUCACUUGGAAAGGACACCGCAAUAUUGAACCCAAAGCUAAGCACUUCUCCCAUUGCAAGAAAGAUCAAUCUAGUAGGCCAAACCAAGCUGAUAAUUCGAAGAGACUUGCAAAGAUAACCAAUCAUACAUAAAAGAAUUAAGAGGAGAUUCAAAUACUGUUCAUAGAUAAACUUGAUCAUAAACCCACAAUUCAUCGGUCUCAACAAACACACCACAAAAGAAGAUUACAUCGAAUAGAUCUCCACGAGAAUCGUGGAGAACUUUGUAUUGAGAUCCAAAAAGAGAGAAGAAGCCAUCUAGCUAAUAACUAUGGACCCGAAGGCCUGAGGUAAACUACUCACACAUCAUCGGAGAGGCUAUGGUGUUGAUGUAGAAGCCCUCCGUGAUCAAUGCCCCCUCCGGCAGGACGCCGGAAAAGGCCCCAAGAUGGGAUCUCACGGGUACAGAAGGUUGCGGCGGUGGAAUUAGGUUUUCGUGGAUGCUUCUGUUGGUUUGGGGUACGUAGGUAUAUAUAGGAGGAAGAAGUACGUCGGCGGAGCAACAUGGGCCCCACGAGGAUGGAGGGCGCGCCGGGGGGGGGGGGGUAGGCGCGCCCCCUACCUCGUGCCCUCCUAGUUGCUUUCUUGAUGUAGGGUCCAAGUCCUCUGGAUCACGUUUGUUCCGAAAAUCACGUUCCCGAAGGUUUCAUUCCGUUUGGACUCCGUUUGAUAUUCUUUUUCUGCGCAACACUGAAAUAGGCAAAAAAAUAGCAAUUUGGGCUGGGCCUCCGGUUAAUAGGUUAGUCCCAAAAAAUAAUAUAAAAGUGUAUAACAAAGCCCAUUAAUCAUCCAAAACAGAACAUAAUAUAGCAUGAAGCAAUCAAAAAUUAUAGAUACGCUGGAGACGUAUCAAGCAUCCCCAAGCUUAAUUCCUUCUCGUCCUCGAGUAGGUAAAUGAUAAAAACAGAAUUUUUGAUGCGGAAUGCUAAUUGGCAUAAUUUUUUAAUGUAACCCUCUUAAUUGUGGUAUGAAUAUUCAGAUCCGAAAGAUUCAAGAUAAAAGUUUAAUAUUGACAUAAAAGUAAUAAACUUCAACCAUACUAACUAAGCAAUUAUGUCUUCUCAAAAUAACAUGGCCAAAGAAAGUUCAUCCCUACAAAAUCAUAUGGUUUAGUCAUGCUCCAUUUCCAUCACACAAGAAUGCUCUCAUCAUGCAAAACCCCGAUGACAAGCCAAGCAAUUGUUUCAUACUUUAGUAAUCCCAAACUUUUUCAACCUUCACGCAAUACAUGAGCGUGAGCCAUGGAUAUAGCACUAUGGGUGGAAUAGAUAAUGAUGGGGGUUAUGUGGAGAAGACAAAAGGGGAUAGUCUCACAUCAACACGGCUAAUCAACGGGCUAUGGAGAUGCCCAUCGAUUGAUGUUGAUGCAAGGAGUAGGGAUUGCCAUGCAACGGAUGCACUAGAGCUAUAAAUGCAUGAAAGCUCAACAAAAGAAACUAAGUGGGUGUGCAUCCAACUUGCUUGCUCACGAAGACCUAGGGCAUUUGAGGAAGCCAAUUGUUGGAAUAUACAAGCCAAGUUCUAUAAUGAAAAAUUCCCACUAGUAUAUGAAAGUGACAAACCAAGAGACCAUCAAGAUUCAUAUUGCAAAACAAAUAUUUAAUAGGAGACACAUCAAUAACUUUUAGAUCUUCAUCUUUAUUUUCAGAAAAAAAAUCCGGUUUGGCGGCCAUCUUAUUAACUAAGGUAGCCUGCUUAUCCGAAAUUUCAGCAAUUAAUUUCUCGAGAUGAGCAAUCUGAUAUUUCAACCCAUAAAAUUCCUUGGACAUAUCGUCGAGCUCUUUAUUCAUGUAACCCAUAAAGCCUUUAUGUUCCUUAAGCUCGUUCCUAAAGAAAUUAUUAUGCUCAAAUUGUAAAGUCAUAAAACUCCUGACGUUACUUUCGAUCUCUUCUAACCUUUUAAGGUGAAGAUCACCAAAUCUAGGUAGAGCCAUCGUGACAAACAAGCAAUCCAACACACGAGCAAACAAGAAACGAGCGGAAAAAAAAGAGGCGAACGGAAAAGAGAGGGCGAAUAAAACGGCAAGGGUGAAGUGGGGGAGAGGAAAACGAGAGGCAAAUGGCAAAUAAUGUAAUGCAGGAGAUAAGAGUUUGUGAUGGGUACUUGGUAUGUUGACUUUUGCGUAGACUCCCCGGCAACGGCGCCAGAAAUUCUUCUUGCUAUCUCUUGAGCACUGCGUUGGUUUUCCCUUGAAGAGGAAAGGGUGAUGCAGUAAAGUAGCUUAAGUAUUUCCCUCAGUUUUUGAGAACCAAGGUAUCAAUCUAGUAGGAGGCCACGCCAAAGUCCCUCGCACCUACACAAACAAAUAAAAAACUCGCAACCAACGCAAUAAAGGGGUUGUCAAUCCCUUGACGGUCACUUACGAAAGUGAGAUCUGAUAGAUAUGAUAAGAUAAUAUUUUUGGUAUUUUUAUAAUAAAGAUGCAAAGUAAAAUAAAAGGCAAUAAAAAUAACAGUGUUGGAAGAUUAAUAUGAUGGAGAAUAGACCCGGGGGCCAUAGGUUUCACUAGUGGCUUCUCUCGAGAGCAUAAGUAUUACGGUGGGUGAACAAAUUACUGUUGAGCAAUUGAUAGAAUUGAGCAUAGUUAUGAGAAUAUCUAGGUAUGAUCAUGUAUAUAGGCAUCAUGAUACGUCUCCAACGUAUCUAUAAUUUUUGAUUAUUCCAUGCUAUAUUAUAUUCUGUUUUGGACAUUAUUGGGCUUUAUUAUACACUUCUAUAUUAUUUUUGGGACUAACCUAUUAACCGGAGGCCCAACCCAGAAUUGCUGUUUUUUGCCUAUUUCAGAGUUUCGCAGAAAAAGAAUAUCAAACGGAGUCCAAACGGAAUGAAACCUUCGGGAACGUGAUUUUCGGAACGAACGUGAUCCAGAGGACUUGGACCCUACGUCAAGACAUCAACCAGGAGGGCACGAGGUAGGGGGGCGCGCCCUCAACCCUCGUGGGGCCCACGUUGCUCCACCGACGUACUUCUUCCUCCUAUAUAUACCUACGUACCCCCAAACUACCAGAUACGGAGCCAAAAAAAAACCUAAUUCCACCGCCGCAACCUUCUGUACCCGUGAGAUCCCAUCUUGGGGCCUGUUCCGGAGCUCCGCCGGAGGGGGCAUCGAUCACGGAGGGCUUCUACAUCAACACCAUAGCCUCUCCGAUGAAGUGUGAGUAGUUUACCUCAGACCAUCGGGUCCAUAGUUAUUAGCUAGAUGGCUUCUUCUCUCUUUUUGGAUCUCAAUACAAUGUUCUCCCCCUCUCUUGUGGAGAUCUAUUCGAUGUAAUCUUCUUUUGCGGUGUGUUUAUUGAGACCGAUGAAUUGUGGGUUUAUGAUCAAGUUUAUCUAUGAACAAUAUUUGAAUCUUCUCUGAAUUCUUUUAUGUAUGAUUUGUUAUCUUUGCAAGUCCCUUCGAAUUAUCAGUUUGGUUUGGCCUACUAGAUUGAUCUUUCUUGCAAUGGGAGAAGUGCUUAGCUUUGGGUUCAAUCUUGCGGUGUCCUUUCCCAGUGACAGUAGGGGCAGCAAGGCACGUAUAGUAUUGUUGCCAUCGAGGAUAACAAGAUGGGUUUUAUAUCAUAUUGCAUGAGUUUAUCCCUCUAUAUCAUGUCAUCUUGCUUAAAGCAUUACUCUGUUCUUAUGAACUUAAUACUCUAGAUGCAUGCUGGAUAGCGGUCGAUGUGUGGAGUAAUAGUAGUAGAUGCAGGCAGGAGUCGGUCUACUUGUCUCGGACGUGAUGCCUAUAUACAUGAUCAUACCUAGAUAUUCUCAUAACUAUGCUCAAUUCUGUCAAUUGCUCAACAGUAAUUUGUUCACCCACCGUAAUACUUAUGCUCUUGAGAGAAGCCACUAGUGAAACCUAUGGCCCCCGGGUCUAUUUUCUAUCAUAUUAAUCUUCCAACACUUAGCUAUUUUUAUUACCUUUUAUCCUAUCAUAUCUAUCACAUCUCACUCUCGUAAGUGACCGUGAAGGGAUUGACAACCCCUUUAUUCCGUUGGUUGCGAGGAUUUAUUUGUUUGUGUAGGUGCGAGGGACUUGCGCGUGGCCUCCUACUGGAUUGUUACCUUGGUUCUCAAAAACUGAGGGAAAUACUUACGCUACUUUGCUGCAUCACCCUUUCCUCUUCAAGGGAAAACCAACGCAGUGCUCAAGAGGUAGCAAGAAGGAUUUCUGGCGCCGUUGCCGGGGAGUCUACGCAAAAGUCAACAUACCAAGUACCCAUCACAAACCCUUAUCUCCCGCAUUACAUUAUUUGCCAUUUGCCUCUCAUUUUCCCCUCCCCCACUUCACCCUUGCCGUUUUAUUCGCCCUCUCUCUUUUCCCUUUUGUCUCCCUCUUUCUUUUUGCUCCGUGCACUUUCUGCCGUUAUGUCUGAAAUUGGGGAAAUUAUUGUCGAUAAGGAUAAUAAUAAUAUCAUGGAAAAUUCUGAUGCUCCUGCUAAAGAAUCCCCUACUUACAUACAAAAAAAUUCUGAAUUGGUAGUGGUAACAUUAUUGGAAAAGGAGUUAUCCAAGAUUUCUUUACUUGUGCCGUUACUUCGCCUUAUAUGGGUAGUUCUAUUCUUCAUAGAACUAGUAGUCUUGCGGACGCUAUUGCCAUGCUUGUAGUUGAACUUGAAAAACAAUUUAUGCACAUGCAUCCUUGCAUACAGAGGAUUUUCCUAGAAUUUUCUAACAUUGAGCACUCUUCUGUUAAGCAUGCCGCUACUAUCUUUUUGGCUCAUGAGUUCCGAUUUAUUAUAAAAGAGGCCAAAGAAAUCUUUGCACAUUAUAGGGUGGACGCUGGACAUCCUCCCAUAGAAACUAUCUUAUUUGAUCAAGAGGAAAUAAUGCGUUUUCAAUCUCUAGAUUAUGUUGCUUUUAAUGAAAAUCUUAGAAAAAAGGUUCCUACCAAUAUUCUAGUUGAUAGAAUUUCUGAACUUAAUGAUGAUUUUGCUAUUUGAAAUAAUGAGCUAGGAUAUUCUCUUGAAUAUAGGCUCACCAAGUUUUGUCAAAAGAAUGCUUAUAAUGAUGAAUUGGUUGUGCAAUAUGAAGGGCCAAUGGAGGAACCUAUACCUCCUAAAGUUGAUCUUGGGGAUUUUUGUCCCAUUAAAUUUAGUCCUUUUGAUUACUUUUGCUUGCCACAAAGAAGCCGAACGUAGAGAGUAUGAAAUGAGUUUUAAUGAUCUAUCUUAUUAUUAUGGCAGUACCUAGUUCUAUCCUUGAUUUUAUGCCUAGCUAGGGGCGUUAAACGAUAGCGCUUGUUGGGAGGCAACCCAAUUUUAUUUUUUAGUCUUUUUUGCUUUUUGCUUCUGUUUAGGAAUAAAUAUUUGAUCUAGCCUCUGGUUAGACUUGUUUUUAUGUUUUAAUUAGUGUUUGUGCCAAGUUAAACCUAUAGGAUCUUCUUGGAUGAUAGUUAUUUGAUCUUCCUGUAAAUUUCAGAAACUUUCUGUUCACGAAAAUAAUUCUUAAAAAUCACCAGAACGUGACAAAAUAUUCAUUCCAAUUUCUGCUGAUCAAUAAACAAAUUGUCUAGGUCGUACUUUUUUGGCUGAAUUUUUGGAGUUCCAGAACUUUGCGUUGGUUACAGAUUACUACAGACUGUUCUGUUUUUUACAGAUUCUGUUUUUCGGGUGUUGUUUGCUUAUUUUGAUGAAUCUAUGGCUAGUAAAAUAGUUUAUAAACCAUAGAGAAGUUGUAAUACAGUAGGUUUAACACCAAUAUAAAUAAAAAAUGAGUUCAUUACAGUACCUUGAAGUGGUAUUUUGUUUUCUUUCGCUAACAGAGCUCACGAGAUUUUCUGUUAAGUUUUGUGUUGUGAAGUUUUCAAGUUUUGGGUAAAAGAUUUGAUGGAUUAUGGAACAAGGAGUGGCAAGAGCCUAAGCUUGGGGAUGCCCAUGGCACCCCAAGAUAAUCUAAGGACACCAAAAAGCCAAAGCUUGGGGAUGCCCCGGAAGGCAUCCCCUCUUUCGUCUACUUCCAUCGGUAACUUUACUUGGAGCUAUAUUUUUAUUCACCACAUGAUAUGUGUUUUGCUUGGAGCGUCCUGUAUGAUUUGAGUCUUUGCUUUUUAGUUUACCACAAUCAUCCUUGCUGUACACACCUUUUGAGAGAGACACACAUGAUCCGGAAAUUAUUAGAAUACUCUAUGUGCUUCACUUAUAUCUUUUGAGUUAUAUAGUUUUUGCUCUAGUACUUCACUUAUAUCUUUUAGAGCAUGGUGG
rnacentral:lncRNA from 1 species